CGAGCCUCCCGAGACAGCGCCGCCUGCGGUGGAGACAAGAACUGCGGCGCCUCAGCGGGAAGCCUGUCGAGUGAGCCCCCGCGAGGUGCGGGCUCCCCGGCGGCCGCAGCUCAGGCCAAGACCUGUACCUCCUCUUGCACGGAUCCUUUCGGGAUCCUUAAGCGACUGAGCGAGGCCCGGAUGGAACAUGCAUCCUCAGAGAGACCAUGUUGGGUCCUUAACCCACUGAGCCACCACAGGGAACUCAUCGCAGUUUCAGGAAUCCAAAGGGCAAGGAAAGAAUCUGAAGUGGGCUGGGCAGAAGGGAGCGGUCAUCUUGCAGAGGCCGGGUCCAUGGUUUUUCCAGCCAGGGCAGAACCCCGCUCUGGGCCUCCUCGCUCCGCAGACAGAGACCUUAAGGCAGAGGUGUCAGCACCAGCCUUGGACAAGCAGCCUCCUCCCCGCAGAACUGUACACUGUGCAGCCGAGUUGGGACCACUGCAGCUCACAGACCCAGCAGCGGUACUAACGCCAGCACCGAGGACCCUGCCGCCCUGGGAGCCAUCAGAUGGCUGCAGGAGCUCUUUGAGGGAGCAGCCCGGACUGCCUUCUGGACCCUUCGUCAUCUGAGGAUGCAAAGCAUCGGCUCCUCGGUGUGGUGGGACAGAGCUGGGUGAGCGUGCCGCUGGGUUCUGAGAAGGCCCUGUGCUGUUGGAAGCUGGACUUGAAGGCCUGGGCCCAGGCUUGUCCUGCGUCCCUGUCUCCAGAGCCUGAGACGGCGGCCUACCCGGGAAGCAGGGUAGGCUGGUCGCAUGGGGACUUCAGAAAGGGCAGGACCUGCCCUCACGAGAUAAGCCAGACCCCUAGCUGUCCUCACUGGUUCUGUCCCUCACUGAUCCCGCUCAGGGCACCAACCCCAGUGCGCGACAGUGACUCCCAGGCUCCUUCCUGGUGGGCUCCUUGGCUUCUGGCUGCAUUUCUUGGGUGAUCCUGAAGGUCCAGAGAGCAGAACAUACAUGCUUGAUGGAGAGAACAUUUCCUACUAGGCUGUGAAUGUAAGGGCCCAAGUCUCUCUUUUUUUUAACCUAGUGGGUGUAUACAGUAGGUGCCCAAUAAGUGCUUGUCCGAUGGAGGAUUUAAGACUGCCGGACCUUCGGGGCAGCUUCUGCAAGAGGUGGAUCCCUACACAAGGCAGAUCUUUGCCACCAAAUCCAAGUCCUUGAGCCUUAUACACUGACUGGGAGCAUCUCCUAUGGAUUUCCAUGCAUACAUGAACACCCACCUGUUCAGAACCAACAUAAUGGCCAGCUCGGGACUCUAGAUUCAGUUGGACAAAGUGGUGGCCAUCAGAAUAGUGCGGUGAGGGGCCGAACAGGACACAAGACGGAGGCAUAUUCCUAGUUUCUGGUUUUCCUCCAGCCCAUGGUGCAGCUCAGGGUGGACCUCCCAUCACCACAGAACGAUGCAGUUGUGUGCAGAGGCUGGCUGUUGAGCUCCCAGGCGUAGUGCGUGCUUUCUCACAAGGGAAGUGAGAGCCCUCUUGUCCCACUGCUGCUGAGCUGAUGUUUCCUGUCCCACGUGAGCCCCAAGGAUGCCAGAGACAGGGGCAAUGGUGGGUGGCUAGCUGGUGCCAAUCAGAUGGCAUCAGUGUCCAAAGAGCCACUUGGAAAGGCCAAACCAGCCCCUGGAAAACAAUGCAAGCAGCUCGUGGACACGGGAGGCGAUGGGAAAAAAAAACAGAAAAUGAGAAGGAAAGUAAAUCAGCAGAUGGGAGGGGAAAAAAGGGAAAC